AUUGAACGCUGGCAGCAGGCCUAACACAUGCAAGUCGAGCGAGCGGCGGACGGGUGAGUAAUGUAUGGGGACUGCCCGAUAGAGGGGGCUAACUACUGGAAAAGGUAGCUAAUACCGCAUACUAUAGGAUAACCCAUAGGGGAUUAGCUAGUAGGUGAGGUCAUGGCUCACCUAGGCGACGAUCCCUAGAUGGUCUGCGAGGAUGAUCAGCCACGCGUGGACGGAGAAACGUCCCAGACUCCUAGGGGGGCAGCAGUGGGGAAUAUUGACCAAUGGGCGCAAGCCUGAUGCAGCCAUGCCGGUGGUAUGAAGAAGGCCCUAGGGUUGUAAAGUACUUUCAGUCGGGAGGCGUUACCGACAGAAGAAGCACCGGCUAACUCCGUGCCAGCAGCGCGGUAAUUC
rnacentral:rRNA from 1 species